AUGGAUACGGCGCCUUUCCAGUUUUCCUCCGGCCGUGUGGGGUAUGUACGUACGUACGUAGAGGGCUCGAACCGUGAUUUUUGGGAACGAAGUGUGCUGCCGGAGGUGAACCUUUGGGCAGGGCAGGGGAGGCGCGGGUGGAGCUCGGGGACGGGCCGGAGGUGCUGGGGCCGGCGCAGGUGGAGCUCGGGGGGCGGGGCGUGGGGCAAGAAGAAGUGCGAGGGAAUGGAGAAGGAAGAAGAGGUAUCUGCGACAGAGGAGCCAAAGAAGAAGAAGAAGCGGCAGAAGAAAAAGCCGACAGCCCGUGCCAAGGCUUGCAGCUUUGGAUUGGGAAAAGCUGGACAGAGAAACCAAGCAGGGUGUAGUACUCUGGCUCUCUCUCUCUUUCUCUCUCUCCUUGGCUAUUUUUGUCUGGGAAGUUGGAAGGAGUGGUGCUGGCUCUGGCUCAGCACUCACUCGCCUCCCCGCAGUGCUGACUUGAAGGAUGCCAUGGCCAUGCCAUGCACGGCCGAGAGAUUUUUAACUUCUACCGGUGUUUCUUCAGCUUAA
rnacentral:rRNA from 1 species